AGAGCAGCUCAUCCUGCCUGUCAGUAGAGCAAGACUGACCUUGUGGCCCUCACCACCCCUGACUCCCCGACUCCCAACAGGCUAUGUCCUUCAUUUAGCAGAACUCUAAACACUACCUUCUCCCUUCUAAUGAGAAGGAGGCUCGGCUCUGACAGACCUGGAGCACCUGGGUAAGUGCCAUUCACAGAAGGGGAAGACCCUCAAUAGCUCACUUUUUUUUUUUCCAGACCACAUAUGGGAAGCAAGACCAGCAUCAGGAAGGUUCUAGAACUCACUUUACCACCUCCAGAAUUCUCUCUUCUCCAAAUUCAUUCUCAAGACUUCACCACUGCACAGAGGAGGAAUAUGCUGAGGUUCAGAGUGCUGGGGCCCAGCUUCAGAAUCAGAAAGGCAGGAGGCUCAGCCACCAUCCUGGCUGAGCAGAACCCCCAAGCAGGAGGGAUAAUCCCAUGAUAACAACAGGAAGGAGCAGCUGGGAUCCAAUAUUUUUUUUUAUUUAUGGUGCAUCUGAGGCCCAGAGAGAAGUGACAUGUCUGAGGUUAUACAACAGAGUUGGACCUAGAAUCCACUAUAUACUUUCUAUCCCACUUGUCAGCUUCCUCAGGGGCCAGAGACAGGAGUUAAGAUAGAAGCCCUCAGCCCUCAGUAUUAGUGCCUUCCUGCUGGGACACCAAGCGUAGCAUUGCAAUGGAAGUGUCUGGGGGCAUAUGCCACCAGGCUCAAGGGCAGGGGUUGUGAUAGGAGUGGGGUUGGACUGAAGGGCCUGGCUUGAAGGACUUGCUGAUGUGCACCCUGGAGUUCUGUUUUACUUACCCUUCUGGAAAGAGAACCUCCCUGUGCAUGUAUGAAGGCCAAGGUUAAAGAUAAGGAAGGCCUUGCUUAUUCCAUGGUAGGACAGGUCAGUAUGCUAGAGAAGGCCUCUUUGGGACUCCAUCAGGUAAGGUCAGCAUCUUGGCAAUACUAAGUUGUUCUUUUUGCCAUGUUUUUCAUUAAAGGGGUUUAGUUAGCAGGUGGGGGUGAGAUUGGUCACUUCACCCCUCCACCCCUAUCCUGCAUCAGCACUCAGGCAGUGAAGUGUGCCUCUUCCUCUCUGAGCUCAUUAAAAUCCUGUUAAUACAUCAUCCUUCCUAAUCUGACAAAUACUCAGUCCUGGCAAAUGGCCUUGCACCAGAUCUCUACCUCCUGUCCUCUGGGCCAGGUCCUGGGAGUCUAAUCUCUGAGGACUACUGGCUAACCCUUCUUCUCAAGGCAAGGGAUCUGUGCCUUGAGAGCCCCUUGCUGAGGUCAUUGAGAUCAUCCCAGGGCAGGUCAAGUGCCCAGCAAUGGAUUGGAUAAUAAUAGUGGUAAUGAUGGCAUAAUGCCUGACUUCUAUGGAGGCCCCUCCAUUCAUUCCCAGCCCUUUUGCUUGUAUCACAUCAAAAAUAGAGAAUCCCACUCUCACCCUGCCCCAGGCGGCAGGGGCUGUGCCUGGAUGUGCAGCCAAGUGCCAUCCCAUGCAUAGGUGGGGGCAUAAGUAUUUGGGUAGGAGCCUGUGUGAAGUGUCAAACCUUCCUGGCCCAGAGACCAGCAACAGGCACUUUCCAAAACAUUCAGAAAAACAACCCGCUGGCUCAGGGAGAAUCCAUAUGAAGUGUUUUGGAGGGAGGGAGGAGAAAGAGGGAGGCAGUAGAAGCCAAAGUAAGGGAGGGAGGAACAGGUGGAGCAAAGAGGAAGGAAAUAAAAAAAUGGCCUCUGAGAGAGGAUAGGGGUAGAGAGAGGAAAGGGAAGGAAGAAAGAAAUGGAGGAAAGGCAGAGGAAAGGGCGGGGAGACCUCUCUUUGUGGCCGUGUAGCUGGCCACUCAGAAAUCAUUAUAGAAAAAAAAAAAAAAAAGAAAGAAAUCAUUAUAGGCAGGAAAGGAAGGAAAUGUGUCUUGGCCGGGGAACUGGGGUGUGUGCCCAAAGGACACCACACCCAGCUGGCUGCUACCCCCUGCAUGUUCGCCAGGGCCCAGGCUGCUCUCCCUACAAAUGGAAGCUCUAGCCCUUCUCCUGGCUGUUUGGGCUUCAAGACCCAAUUCCCAGGGCCUCUCCAACCCUGCUCAAUCCCACCCAACCCUUCCUGUUUAUGAACUGAUACCAGCUUUGUCUUCCCCUGGGUCACAGGUUGUGUCUGGGUCCAGUCCCCACCCCACAGCCAGCUGAGGGACCACUAGGAACCACUGUGAGAAUCAGGAAGAAUGCUCCUUCCUCUGCACAGAUCCACUUCUGUGCAAGGCCACUCAAGAUUUGGAGGAGGAGGUGGGACUGGCCAUCAGCCCCCACUUCACCUCUGUCAACCCAACACUUGGGGACCAUGAUAUCACACUUCCAAAGUCCUUACCCCACGCGGGCCCCUAAUGUUUAAUGUGAGUUCCUUAUAGUCCCACAGAACCUCUCACUAAAUACUCACCCCAUUCGAAUACCUGGGUCUCUGUGCCUGGAAUCUCAUUUCCCUACUCUACCCAGUGAACAUCUAUUCAUCCUUCAGAACCCAACUAGAUGUGCCCUCCUCUGUGAAGCCCCUGCCUGUCCCCCACCCCCUGCAAAGCCAGUAGCACCACCUCAGAGCCUAAUCCUACCUGUUCCCCAGAGUUCAUGGGUUGGUCCCAGAAUCCUGCUACCUAGAACCCACUGUCCCACCCCAACCCCAAAGGCAGAAUACGCCAUCAAAUCCUGUAUGACUUGUCCCCUAACUUGCCAGCCCCUCUGGAACCCCACUGGGAUUCUCCCCUCCCACAACCUUACAGAUUUAAGGCAGAAUGGGAAACUGGAAAUCCAAGUAGCCCAGAAGCUCCCCACCCCCACUCUGCCCUCACAGGAGCUGGUCCUGACCGAAGAUUCCCAGCACAUCUGGUUGUACUUAAAUCAUCCAGCACUGGACUGGGCUGCCUGGGCAGGUUCCCGCUUCUCUCCCUCCUGCCCUUGACUCCUCCCCUUCCUAGCCCAGCCUGCCAGCUCUCUCCUCCAGGAGGCCUUCCCUGACUGGCCUAGCCUCUGUACCUACACCCUUGACUAUCUCUCUGGGUUGAGGGUCUAGAGGGUGCACGCUCAGCAAGGCUUGGUGUGUGGGCCCCCAUCCUGCCUAAGCACUGAUCCUGUAUAGAAACCAUCCCUCCAGACAGGGAGGGGAGCCAACCAAGUUCCUCCCCUCUGCUCCCUUAAUCUCUAGGGUGGUUGCCCUCAGCAUCUGGUGGUGUAGCAGGGAGGGAAUCGGUUCCUUCAGUGCCUUGGUUCAGAUAGACAGCCAGCAGAUCCUGCUGCCGUCAUUGUCCAAAAGUCUCAUAAAAUAUUACGAAAGGGGAAGAGCCUGACAUGGUGGUGUACACACCUCUAGCCGCAGCACCCAAGAGAUUCCUUCAGCCCAGGAGUUUGUGCUUCGUGGUCACCAUGGACAACAUAGGGAAAAAAAGAAAGAAAGAAAGGAGGUGGGGAGGGGUAAUAAAUGCAGAUAAUAUAGCAAGUACAAAAAGACAAGGCUGGCUGAGUACAGUGGUACAGGCCUGUAAUCUAGCAGCUUGGAAGGCUGAGGCGGGAGGAUCAAGAGUCCAAAGCCUCAGCAACUUAGUGAGGCUGUCUCUAAAUAAAAUACAAAAAAAGGGCUGGGGGUGUGGGUCAGUGGUUAAGCACCCUGAGUUCAAUCCCCAGUACACACACACACACACACACACACACCAAAAAAAAAUAGGUGACAAAGAAUGGGAUUGUGAGGUUAUGGAUCUACCAUGACAGGCCCCACCAGGGCUCCAUAUUCAAAUGUUCAGUCUUUCAUUCCAUAGCAUGUACUGAUGUCUAUGAGUAGUAAGUUAUAGGAAUAAAGACUUGAUUAACAAUGGGCUGGGGAUACAGCUCAGUUGGUAGAGUGCUUGCCUUGCAUGCACAAGGCCCUGGGUUCAAUCCCCAGUACCCCCCCCACACACACACACACAAAAGACUUGAUUAAUAAGACUCCAAUACUUCCUAGAGAAAUCGGGGAGUGGGGGGUGGGCAGUGAGAGGAGCAGGGGGAUGAACAGACACAAGGUAUGUGAGGGGCUUGAGUCAGGGGCAGGGUGCAGUGGUUGAGGGGCCAGAGCUGAGUAUGGGCUCCAUCACUUUCCUGCUGUUGUCCCUGGGAGCCACUUAACCUCCUGAAGCCUGUCUCCCCACCUGGAAAAGGGGAUAGUGUGACCUCACAGAGUUGUGGUGGGAUUCAAAUAAGAUAAUGUGCAAAUAAGAUAAUGUGUGUGGAGACUUUCUCAAGUGCUAAGGGAGUUGUUGCUAUUGUGAUCAUUAGCUCAGAUGUUGCUCACUCGUGUAAUGCUUCAACAGCUACCUGUGCUUACCCUCAGAGCAGAAGAGAAACUUCAGUGAAGGAGGCCUAGUCCAGGGCAGCAGGCAGCUAGGAUGUACACACACACACACUUUGCUUAUACAAGUGAUAAAAUACCUUUAAAAAAAAAUCAGAAAAUAUGCCUGGCAUGGUGGCAUGUGCCUUGGUCUCACCUACUCCGGAAGCUGAGGCAAGAGGAUCACUUGAGUUCAGUUUAAGGCCAGCCUCAGCAAUUUAGUGAGACCUCUGUAUAAAUAAAUAAAAUAAGGUACACCAGUAGGUAUGUUUUUAAAAAAUAAAAAAUUAGACACCUUUAGGGGUUCGGCUGUGGCUCAGUGGUACAGCACUUGCCUAGAAUGCGUGAGGCACUGGGUUCUAUCUUCAGCACCACAUAAAAAUAAACAAACAAACAAAAAAGGCAUUCUGUCCAUCUCCAACUACAAAAAAAAAAAAAAUCAAACACCUUUAUCCCACUAACCAGAAGUAACCAUUGGUAAAUUCUUGGAAUCUGCCAAAUAUAGAUACAGAUAUGCGGAAAAAGAGAAAGAUCUGCACAGCAUUUUGCAAUCUGCUUUUCUCAGUAGACAAAUAUUUUUCCUAUCUGCAAAACACUGUAUAAUGGGGGCAGGGGGUAUGAACCCUGGGUGCUCUAUUACUGAGCCCUUUUUCUAUUUUUAUUUUGAGACAGGGUCUCACUAAAUUAUCAGGCUGACCUGGAAUUUGCAAUCCUCCUCUCUCAGCCUCCCCAGUACCUGGGAUUACAGGGCUGUGCCAGUACACCUGGCUAUUCCUGGGUAGCCUCACCUGGAGGAGCUCCCACACACACAUGGUAGGUACUUACACUAAGUACUGAGGAUGGAAUGCUCCCAGGACCAGACCACUGAGUCAGCCUUUUUUUUUUUUUUUUAAAUAUCCCAGCCCCCAGAAUUGAACCCAGGGGUUCUUUACCAAUAUGCUAUAUCCCCAGCCCUUUCUGUUUGUUUGUUUGUUUUAAUACAGAGUCUCACCAAAUUGCUUAGGGCCUCCCUAAUUUUUUUUAAUCUCUAUUUUAUUUAUUUAUUUUUAUGUGGUGCUUAGGAUUGAAUCCAUGGCCUUGAACCCAGGGCCUCCCUAAAUCGAUGGGGUUGGCUUCCAAUUUGCCAUCCUCUCGCCUCAGCCUGAGUAGCUGGGAUUAAAGGCAGGUACCCCCCGCACUUUUGGGGAGGGUAACCUGGAUGGAACCGAGGGGUGCUUAACUACAGAGCCAAAUCCCCAGCCCUUUUUUAUUUUCAGACAGGGUCUCGCUAAAUCACUGAGGCUGGCCUCAAAUGCUCCUGCCUCCAGCCGCUUGGAUUACAGGUGUGGGCCUCCACAUGGGCUAUUCCACUUAAUUGUUAAUGACAGUUUAAUAUUCCACUUUUCGGGCAUGAUUAACAGGUUUCCUUCAUUUUUCAUUUUCCCCCAAGAUAAAGUUUGAUGAGUAAGCUUGUGAGGCCACCUGUGUGCGCACCUGUGAGAUUGCUGCUUACAAUCAUUCCUGGGGACGUUAUGGGUGCCUGUCCUUAGCUGCCAGGAGCCUCCAGGUGGCUCUUCCAGGACCCAGUACUUUCAUCUCUCAGACCUGCCCUGGAAGCCCAGGAAACUGCCCUGAAGGCCUCACCACACCGCCAGGGGCCUGGGAAGAGCACAAAGCCACCAAGCCACCGGAAGCCGCCCCGCCCUCCCGCCGACAUUCCUCCCGACAAUGGCUGCCUCGGGAAUCCGCGGAAUGAGGAGGCCCGUGGCCUCCCAAACCCACUCCCCUCCACCCCGCAUCUAUGCGUACCCGCUCCAGGCCCGCAGCCCCGCGCCCUGCUCCCCACGCCCAUCCCCAGCGCCAGGUCCUUGGCAGGCCCUGCUGCCUCUCAGGCGGCUACUCUCCGACUGUAAAAUGGGGGACUUGGGGUCAGUGGCUGCUGAAUUCCCCACGGAUCACAAACACGUAAAAAACGUGAACAGGCUUUGGGGCCAGAGUGCUCAGGUUGAAAUCCGCAUCUGCCCUAGUUUACCCUGUGAAUUCAGUGCCCUGGGCCCCAGCUUUCCCCUAAAAGUGGGUUGAUAUAUACCAGCACCUUCUCAUUGGCCAACCAGAGGCUAAUCUGUCAAAAUCUAUGAAUGGGGACCAAUGAUUAACUCGGUCCAAAACCCAACUAGACACCAUCCCCAGUCCUUUCUCAUGCCCAGUGCAGAUUUUGGCCCCUGGAUAUUUGCCCAACCAUUGGCCACACCAAUGGAAGCUAAGAAGAGCAUCCCUCUGCAGGUUUCCAUAACCCCUCCUAUUAGCCAUGAAGUUGUGAAUGGGUAAACCCAUAAAGAAUUUGGGUGUCAAAUAAAAGUUGAAAGGUAGGAAACCCAUGUCAGGUCACAUGUUCCUGUUUUUUAUUUGGGAAACACAAGCAUUUCUAAGGCAGCCAGCAUUUGCUAGACACCAAGAGUGACAAGACUCCAGGCUCAGUCUUAGCAACUUAGUGAGACCCUAAGCAAUUUGGCAAGACCCUGCCUCAAAAUAAAAAAUAAAAAGGGCUGGAGAUCUCUAAAGAAGAAAGAAAUUAUGGCAUUUGCAGGUAAAUGGAUGGAGCUGGAGAAUAUCAUGUUAAACAAAGUAAGCCAAACCCAAAAAGCCAUGGCCAGAUGUUUUCUCUGAUGAGAUGAUGCUAAUCCAUAAGGGGGGAGGGCGGGUGCAGUUAGGGAAGAAUGAAG
rnacentral:tRNA from 1 species